rnacentral:rRNA from 1 species
UACAGAGGGUGCGAGCGUUAAUCGGAAUUACUGGGCGUAAAGCGUGCGUAGACGGCUAUCUAAGUCGGGUGUGAAAGCCCCGGGCUCAACCUGGGAAUUGCAUUCGAGACUGAAUAGCUAGGGUACGGUAGAGGGAAGCGGAAUUUCCGGUGUAGCGGUGAAAUGCGUAGAUAUCCGGAGGAACACCAGUGGCGAAGGCGACUUUCUGGCCUGUUCUUGACGCUGAGGCGCGAAAGCUAGGGGAGCAAACGGG